rnacentral:lncRNA from 10 species
AGCUCUUGCAUGAGGCACCUACAGGCAGAGGAUUAAUUAGGUUUUCAGUUUCAGUUUCCCAGAAAGGAGGUGUCUCUGUGGUGACGAGCAGGGCUUCAUCCAGUGCCUCUGUCCCCACCGAGGGGACUAUGGGAGACAUGGAGGGUGUGUGAGCAACAGGUGAGACUGGAGCCAGCUGAAAACUGGGAGACCGACCCAGCCAACAAACAAUGUCGGUCUCUGUCUUGGCACCUGCAGGAAACAAGCUCCUACUUCCAGAAAAAGUGCUCCUGGGACUCCAGGAUACCAGGCAUCUGGGUAAGCUACAAUGCUUAACCACUUAACACAAUCAGGAAGCAACAGCCAUGCAUUCGGGAAAGGAACUUCAGUGUUGUGUGGCUCAGUCUCCAGACCUAACUUUCCCUUUGGUACAGACGCGGUGGUACAUGCCUGUAAUCCCAACACUUAGGCAGGAGGAUCACUCGAGCCCAGAAGAUCAAGACUAGUGUGAGCAACAAACCUUGUUUCCCAUAUGAGUAGACUCUCCCUUAGCUGGGAAAGCCUGACGAACGCCAUCUGGCCCCUUGAUUUACAAGACAUUAAGGGCUACUUACCCAACCCCCUUCCUCAAAGAGUUAACCUGCGUAAGCAGAUCCUCAGCAUUUCAAAGGAGCCCAAUUAGCUGAUAAGGUACUGGAACAAACAAUGUACGAAGUUCCCAGGAUUUUGCUCAAAAGCAUAACAACAUAAAGCCUUGAGUCUGUGUCUGGCAUAGCAUCCAUAUCUAACUCUUAUGAAGGAUUUAGAGCCCGGCACCUGGUUCCGUUGCUUUUUUUGUAACCAUUUGUCUUUUAAAUUGUUUAUUUCUCUGUAACCAUUUGUUUUUUGAUUCUUGCAUGUUUUUACUUCUGUAGAAUUAUUGCAUUUGAGCUCCGCUCCCCUUCCGAACCAAGGUAUAAAAGUAAAUCAAGCCCCUUCCUCGGGGCCGAGAGAAUUUUGGAAAGUCAAGCCUUCUCUUGGCUGCCGGCUUAAAUAAAGGACUCUUAAUUCGUCUCGAAGUGUGGCGUUUUCUCUAACUCGCUUGGGUAUAACACUUUGAGCCUGCGAGGCAGAGUUUGCAGUGAGCCGAGAUCACGCCACUGCACUCCAGCCUCGGCAACAAGAGUGAAACUCCGUUUCAAAAAACAAAAACAAAACAAAACAAAAGAACCCUCACAAUCUUCCUGCACCCAACUGAUGAAAUCACCAUUGCAAAAGUUAUAUCAGUGAGAACAUUAGAACAGUAAGCUAAGCUAACCCAAACCCCACCUUACUUUUCCCUUAAUUAUUCCUGGGCUACUGGGUCGAGCUAACUUUGGAAGACAUUUAGGCUAUGGUUUAAAUAACAGGCCUUGCCAAAAACUCAACCACUUAUUUUUUUGAGACGGAGUCUUGCUCUGUCGCCCAGGCUGGAGUGCAGUGGUGUGAUCUGGGCUCACUGCAAUCUCUGCCUCUGGGUUCAAGCAAUUCUCCUGCCUCAACCUCCUGAGUAGCUGGGAUUACAGGCGCAUGCCACUGAGUAGCUGGGAUUACAGGCGCAUGCCACCAAGCCUGGCUAAUUUUUGUAUUUUUAGUAGAGACAGGGUUUCACCAUGUUGGUCAGACUGGUCUCGAACUCCUGACCUUGUGAUCCACCCACCUCAGCCUCCCAAAGUGCUGGGAUUACAGGCUUGAGCCACCGUGCCCAGCCUGCUUUUUUUUUUUUUUUUUCCUUGAGACAGAGUCUCAUUCUGUCACCCAGGCUGGAGUGCAGAGGCACCAUUUCUGCUCACUGAAACCUCCACUUCUGGGGCUCAAGCAAUUCUCCUCUCUCAGCCUCAGGAGUAGCUGGGAUUACAGGCGCCUGCCACCAAGCCUGGCUAAUUGUUUUGUAUUUUUAGUAGAGAUGGGGUUUCACCC